CCCCUAUUUUUGGGGUCACACGGGAGGGGCACCCCUGGUUUGGGGUGUCCUGGUGCUUGGGGUCCUUUCCUGCAGGUUCCCCAAACACCCAAAUUUUGGGGUGCUGAUGCUCCAUCCUCGGCCCGUUGGGUUUUCACAUUUCCUGUCCUUUUUGGGGUCCCAUAUUUGGAGGCUGCCCAAACCCAGCUUUUGGGGUAUCUUCAGCUUUUGGGGUACCCCCAUUUUGGGGUCACUGCAGGUUCUGGAUCCUUUCAUUUCCCAGGGGCGCCGCAUCCUCAGGACGCCGUUUUUGGGGCUGUGUCCGUUUCAGGGGUGCAGUUUGGGGUCAGUCGUGGUACAAGCGCAGCAGGCAGGGGCUGAUGGCCGUGUUUGGGGCGCUGUUUUUGGGGUGCUGUUUGGGGUCAGUCGUGGUACAUGCGCAGCAGGCAGGCGCUGAUGGCGGCCAUGUAGCGCUCCCACAGCGCUUGGUGCCUGCAGAACGGGCAGAAAUUAAAUUUUGGGAUUUUUGGGGGGCACAAAUGGGAUCUGGGGGAUCCCUCGCUUUUAGGGAACACCCCCGGA
rnacentral:lncRNA from 1 species